rnacentral:lncRNA from 10 species
GUCUCACUCAGGUCAGAGAGUACAGCAGGAAGAGGGGGCUUGAGGGGGCACCUUCCACCCAUCCCCAUGGCUGACACCCCUUCCGCAACUCGGGAAGGUCCCUGAAGGACCUCAGGACCCAGUUCACCAAACUCCUCAAGCUUUAUAGACAGGGUUUUGUCUUGUUGGCCAGGCUGGUCUUGAAUUCCUGACCUCAAGUGAUCUGCCCGCCUCGGUCUCCCAAAGUGCUGGGAUUACAGGUGUGAACUACCACCCUGCCUAUAUUUACCUCUUGAAUCCAUCGAUUUUAUGGCAUGAGCUGGACCCGCCAAGGCUUCUCUCUACAGUCAGAUGUCUCUGGGCUUAGAAGAUGUACUCUGAGACUGGGGACCCAGGCCUGGACAGGCCACUGCCUUACCCAGUAGCUUCGUGCAAGUCACCUGUAUUUGAGACUCAGCUACCUGCUCUGCAGAACUGCAGUAACGGUGUGGAUCCAUUGACUUCAGAGGGUAAGAUGGCCCUGACUCUCGUGCCUGAGUUUCUAAACUGUGAGACAGUGGCUGCUCUACCAGUUAGAAAUCAGAAGUUUUAGUCUAUCCUGCUGUUCGCUUAUUCAGCAAGUAUUUGUCAACAGCUAUGGUGUGUGCCUACCCAGGCACUCAGACUCAGCCACAGUCUACAGACCUCCCGCUUCCUGACCACUUGCUCUGAAAAUCUGGGUUGUGAUCUCAAAACCUAAAGACUUCCCAAUCCCACGUCCUGACCUCCGUGUCUUGUUUGGAAUAUCGCAACCCCCAAUCCUGUACCCC